UUCCGGUUGAUCCUGCCGGACCUGACUGCUAUCGGAUUGAUACUAAGCCAUGCGAGUCGCGAGUCUUAGGGACUCGGCGUACCGCUCAGUAACACGUGGGUAACCUGCCCUAUGCUGGGGGAUAACCUCGGGAAACUGAGAAUAAUACCCCAUAGUUCACCACGCCUGGAACGGUGGGUGGAUCAAAGCUCCGGCGGCAUAGGAUGGGCCUGCGGCGUAUCAGGUUGUAGGGGGUGUAAUGUACCCUCUAGCCCUCUACGCGUACGGGUGUUGAGAGACAUCGCCCGGAGAUGGAUUCUGAGACACGAAUCCAGACCCCACGGGGUGCAGCAGGCGCGAAAACUUGGCAAUGCGAGAAAUCGUGACCAGGGAACUCCAAGUGCAUCGGGUAAGACCGAUGCUUUUCUUGACUCUUCAAAGGUCUUGGAAUAAGGGGUGGGUAAGGACGGUGCCAGCCGCCGCGGUAAUACCGGCGCCCCAAGUGGUAGUCGCUUUUAUUGGGCCUAAAACGUCCGUAGCCGGUCUGGUACAUUCGUGGGUAAAUCAACCAGCUCAACUGGUUGAAUUCUGCGAGCACGGCCAGACUUGGGACCGGGAGAGGUGUGGGGUACUCUCAGGGUAGGGGUAAAAUCCUGUCAUCCUGAGAGGACCACCUGUUGCGAAGGCGCCACACUAGAACGGAUCCGACGGUCAGGGACGAAGCCUAGGGGCACGAACCGGAUUAGAUACCCGGGUAGUCCUAGGUGUAAACGCUGUGGACUUGAUGUUGGGGGCGCUCCGAGCGCACUCAGUGUCGAAGCGAAGGUGAUAAGUCCACUGCCUGGGGAGUACGGUCGCAAGGCUGAAACUUAAAGGAAUUGGCGGGGGAGCACCGCAACCUGAGGAUUGUGCGGUUUAAUUGGAGUCAACGCCGG
rnacentral:rRNA from 1 species